GAUAAACGCUGGCGGCGUGCAUAACACAUGCAAGUCGAACGAUGAAACUUAGAUGAUUUCUUCGGAAUGAACUUAAGCGGAUUAGUGGCGAACGGGUGAGUAACACGUGAGUAACCUGCCUUACACAAGGGGAUAGCCUUUGGAAACGAAGAAUAAUACCCUAUAACGUCAAUUUAUCGCAUGAUAGAAUGACCAAAGAUUUAUCGGUGUAAGAUGGACUUGCGUCUGAUUAGCUAGUUGGUGAGAUAAAGGCCCACCAAGGCAACGAUCAGUAGCCGGCUUGAGAGAGUGUACGGCCACAUUGGGACUGAGACACGGCCCAAACUCCUACGGGAGGCAGCAGUGGGGAAUUUUGCACAAUGGGGGAAACCCUGAUGCAGCGACGCCGCGUGAUUUAGAAGGCCUUCGGGUUGUAAAAAUCUUUUUUAUGGGAUGAAAAUGACAGUACCAUAAGAAUAAGGUCCGGCUAAAUACGUGCCAGCAGCCGCGGUAAUACGUAUGGACCGAGCGUUGUCCGGAAUCAUUGGGCGUAAAGGGUACGUAGGCGGCCCAGUAAGUUAGAAGUGAAAUAAUAUAGCUCAACUAUAUAAAGCUUUUAAAACUGCUAGGCUUGAGAGAUGGAAGGGAAAGUGGAAUUCCUAGUGUAGCGGUGAAAUGCGCAGAUAUUAGGAAGAAUACCGGUGGCGAAGGCGACUUUCUGGUCAUCAUCUGACGCUGAGGUACGAAAGCGUGGGUAGCAAACAGGAUUAGAUACCCUGGUAGUCCACGCUGUAAACGAUGAGUGUUAGGUUCUUGGAAUAAUCUGGGAGCCGCAGCUAACGCAUUAAACACUAAAGGCUGGGGAGUACGCACGCAAGUGUG
rnacentral:rRNA from 1 species